UACGUAGGCAGCGAGCGUUGUUCGGAAUUACUGGGCGUAAAGAGUGUGUAGGCGGUGCUCUAAGUUCGGUGUGAAAUCUCCCGCUUAACUGGGAGGGUGCGCCGGAAACUGGAGUGCUCGAGCGUGGGAGAGGAAAGCGGAAUCCUGGUGUAGCGGUGGAAAUGCGUAGAUAUCAGGAGGAACACCUGCGGUGUAGACGGCUUCUGGACCGUAACUGACGCUGAGGCACGAAAGCGUGGGUAGCAAACAGG
rnacentral:rRNA from 1 species